AACAGCAAGAAGUUCAGUCUAAGUAAUUCAUCUAAAGCUAUGCAGGUUUGGCUCUGGCCAGUAUUUGGAUGGGAAACCAAUUAGGAAAGCUUGGGUUGCUGCUG
rnacentral:rRNA from 1 species